CUACGGGCGGCUGCAGUGGGGAAUUUUGCGCAAUGGGCGAAAGCCUGACGCAGCAAUACCGCGUGAGUGAAGAAGGCCUUUGGGUCGUAAAGCUCUUUUGUAAGGGAAGAUAGUGACGGUACCUUACGAAUAAGCACCGGCUAACUCCGUGCCAGCAGCCGCGGUAAUACGGAGGGUGCAAGCGUUGUUCGGGUUUACUGGGCGUAAAGGGCACGUAGGCGGCAUAGGAAGUUAAGGGUGAAAUCCCGGGGCUCAACUCCGGAACUGCUCUUAAAACUGCUAAGCUAGAGAUAGUCAGAGGCGGGUAGAAUUCCUGGUGUAGAGGUGAAAUUCGUAGAUAUCAGGAGGAAUACCGGUGGCGAAGGCGGCCCGCUGGGGCUAUGCUGACGCUAAGGUGCGAAAGCGUGGGGAGCAAACGGGAUUAGAUACCCCUGUAGUC
rnacentral:rRNA from 1 species